rnacentral:piRNA from 1 species
UUGCAGUGUCUGGAAUUUGCAUCCUGCA